rnacentral:rRNA from 1 species
ACUCAAAGGAAUAGACGGGGGCCCGCACAAGCAGUGGAGUAUGUGGUUUAAUUCGAAGCAACGCGAAGAACCUUACCGGGGCUUGACAUCCCUCUGACCGGUGUAGAGAUACACCUUCCCUUCGGGGCAGAGGAGACAGGUGGUGCAUGGUUGUCGUCAGCUCGUGUCGUGAGAUGUUGGGUUAAGUCCCGCAACGAGCGCAACCCUUAUUGUUAGUUGCCAUCAUUUAGUUGGGCACUCUAGCAAGACUGCCGGUGACAAAUCGGAGGAAGGUGGGGACGACGUCAAAUCAUCAUGCCCCUUAUGUCCCGGGCUACACACGUACUACAAUGGCCGUCAACAACAGGAAGCGAAGCCGCGAGGCGGAGCAAAUCCCCAAAAACGGUCUCAGUUCGGAUUGCAGGCUGAAACUCGCCUGCAUGAAGUUGGAAUUGCUAGUAAUCGCGAAUCAGCAUGUCGCGGUGAAUACGUUCCCGGGCCUUGUACACACCGCCCGU